GCGAAAACUUUGCAAUGCGGGAAACCGUGACAAGGGAACUCUGAGUGCCCGUUAAAUCGGGCUGUCCAUCGGUUUAAACAACCGGUGAAGAAAGGGCCGGGCAAGACCGGUGCCAGCCGCCGCGGUAAUACCGGCGGCUCGAGUGGUGGCCACUAUUACUGGGCUUAAAGCGUUCGUAGCUGGUUUGUUAAGUCUCUGGGGAAAUCUUCCGGCUCAACCGGAAGGCGUCUCAGGGAUACUGGCAGACUAGGGACCGGGAGAGGUGAGAGGUACUCCAGGGGUAGGAGUGAAAUCCUGUAAUCCUUGGGGGACCACCUGUGGCGAAGGCGUCUCACCAGAACGGCUCCGACAGUGAGGGACGAAAGCUGGGGGAGCAAACCGGAUUAGAUACCCGGGUAGUCCCAGCUGUAAACGAUGCGCGUUAGGUGUAUCGGUGACCACGAGUCACCGAGGUGCCGAAGAGAAAUCGUGAAACGUGCCGCCUGGGAAGUACGGUCGCAAGGCUGAAACUUAAAGGAAUUGGCGGGGGAGCAC
rnacentral:rRNA from 1 species